UACGUAGGGCGCAAGCGUUAUCCGGAAUUAUUGGGCGUAAAGAGCUCGUAGGCGGUUUGUCGCGUCUGCCGUGAAAGUCCGGGGCUCAACUCCGGAUCUGCGGUGGGUACGGGCAGACUAGAGUGAUGUAGGGGAGACUGGAAUUCCUGGUGUAGCGGUGAAAUGCGUAGAUAUCGCUUGGAACGCCGAAGGUGAAAACAGGCUGCUGGGGUUGCGCCGACGCUGAGACACGAAAGCCAGGGGAGCAAACGGG
rnacentral:rRNA from 1 species